GACGAACGCUGGCGGCGUGCUUAACACAUGCAAGUCGAACGGAAAGGCCCUGCUUGCAGGGUACUCGAGUGGCGAACGGGUGAGUAACACGUGGGUGAUCUGCCCUGCACUUCGGGAUAAGCCUGGGAAACUGGGUCUAAUACCGGAUAGGAGCCAUUUUUAGUGUGAUGGUUGGAAAGUUUUUUCGGUGUAGGAUGAGCUCGCGGCCUAUCAGCUUGUUGGUGGGGUAAUGGCCUACCAAGGCGGCGACGGGUAGCCGGCCUGAGAGGGUGGACGGCCACAGUGGGACUGAGAUACGGCCCAGACUCCUACGGGAGGCAGCAGUGGGGAAUAUUGCACAAUGGGCGCAAGCCUGAUGCAGCGACGCCGCGUGGGGGAUGACGGCCUUCGGGUUGUAAACUCCUUUCGCUAGGGACGAAGCUUUUUGCGACGGUACCUAGAUAAGAAGCACCGGCUAACUACGUG
rnacentral:rRNA from 1 species